rnacentral:piRNA from 1 species
UGGUGGAAGAACUCAUCCGUGGAGGCC